rnacentral:rRNA from 1 species
GACGAACGCUGGCGGCGUGCCUAAUACAUGCAAGUCGAGCGAAGUUUUUCUGGUGCUUGCACUAGAAACACUUAGCGGCGAACGGGUGAGUAACACGUAAAGAACCUGCCUCAUAGACUGGGACAACUAUUGGAAACGAUAGCUAAUACCGGAUAACAGUAUUUCUCGCAUGAGAGAUAUUUAAAAGUUGGUUAUGCUAACACUAUGAGAUGGCUUUGCGGUGCAUUAGCUAGUUGGUGGGGUAAAGGCCCACCAAGGCGACGAUGCAUAGCCGACCUGAGAGAGUGAUCGGCCAAACUGGGACUGAGACACGGCCCAGACUCCUACGGGAGGCAGCAGUAGGGAAUCUUCCGCAAUGGGCGAAAGCCUGACGGAGCAACGCCGCGUGAGUGACGAAGGAUUUCGGUUCGUAAAGCUCUGUUGUUAGGGAAGAAUGGAUAUGUAGUAACUAUACAUGUAAGAGACGGUACCUAGCCAGAAAGCCACGGCUAACUACGUG